ensembl:misc_RNA 7SK 7SK RNA
GGAUGUGAGGGUGACCUGGCUGUGAAAUCUGCUCCCAUUGAUUGCCAGGGUUGAUUCAGCAGAUCUGGCUGGCUAGGCAGGUGUCCCCUUCCUCCCUCACCACUCCAUGUACAACCCUCCAGAAGCUGUGCACUCAGUUGAAGAGUUCAAGCACUCCUGAUAGAUGAGGACUAUUUCCUUGGUCAAGGGUAUAUGAGUAGCUGCGCUCCCUUGCCAGAACCUCCAAACAAUCUGCCAAACUGCCAAAGAUUAAAACUAGACCCUUAUCUUUCAUCAUGCACUAAACUAAAAUCCAAGUGGAUUAAAGAU